rnacentral:rRNA from 1 species
AGAGUUUGAUUAUGGCUCAGAACGUACGCUGGCGGCACGCCUAACACAUGCAAGUCGAACGAAGUAGCAAUACUUAGUGGCAGACGGGUGAGUAACAUGUAGGUAUCUGCCCUUUGGCCUGGAAUAACACGAGGAAACUUGUGCUAAUACCGGAUAAGUCUUUACGGAGAAAGCUUUAUGCACCAUUGGAUGAGCCUGCACUUGAUUAGUUUGUUGGUGGGGUAAUGGCCUACCAAGACUGUGAUCAAUAGCUGAUUUGAGAGGAUGAUCAGCCACAUUGGGACUGAGACACGGCCCAAACUCCUACGGGAGGCAGCAGUGGGGAAUCUUGCACAAUGGAGGAAACUCUGAUGCAGCGAUGCCGCGUGAGUGAAGAAGGCCCUUGGGUUGUAAAGCUCUUUCGUCGGGGAAGAAAAUGACUGUACCCGAAUAAGAAGGUCCGGCUAACUUCGUGCCAGCAGCCGCGGUAAUACGAAGGGACCUAGCGUAGUUCGGAAUUACUGGGCUUAAAGAGUUCGUAGGUGGUUGAAAAAGUUAGUGGUGAAAUCCCAGAGCUUAACUCUGGAACUGCCAUUAAAACUUUUCAGCUAGAGUAUGAUAGAGGAAAGCAGAAUUUCUAGUGUAGAGGUGAAAUUCGUAGAUAUUAGAAAGAAUACCAAUUGCGAAGGCAGCUUUCUGGAUCAUUACUGACACUGAGGAACGAAAGCAUGGGUAGCGAAGAGGAUUAGAUACCCUCGUAGUCCAUGCCGUAAACGAUGUGUGUUAGACGUUGGAAAUUUAUUUUCAGUGUCGCAGGGAAACCGAUAAACACACCGCCUGGGGAGUACGACCGCAAGGUUAAAACUCAAAUGAAUUGACGGGGACCCGCACAAGUAGUGGAGCAUGUGGUUUAAUUCGAAGAUACGCGCAGAACCUUACCAACACUUGACAUGUUCGUCGCGACUCUAAGAGAUUAGAGUUUUCGGUUCGGCCGGACGAAACACAGGUGCUGCAUGGCUGUCGUCAGCUCGUGUCGUGAGAUGUUGGGUUAAGUCCCGCAACGAGCGCAACCCUCACUUUUAGUUGCCAUCAUUAAGUUGGGCACUCUGAAAGAACUGCCAGUGAUAAGCUGGAGGAAGGUGGGGAUGACGUCAAGUCCUCAUGGCCCUUACGUGUUGGGCUACACACGUGCUACAAUGGUAUCUACAACAGGAAGCAAGACUGCGAGGUCAAGCAAAUCCCUAAAAGAUACCUCAGUUCGGAUUGCACUCUGCAACUCGAGUGCAUGAAGCUGGAAUUACUAGUAAUCGUGGAUCAGCGUGCCACGGUGAAUGCGUUCCCGGGUCUUGUACACACCGCCCGUCACACCAUGGGAGUUGGUUCUACCUUAAGGCAAGGUUUCAAACCCUUGACCACGGUAUAGUCAGCGACUGGGGUGAAGUCGUAACAAGGUA